UGAUAGCGAUGAAGCGUGAGGUUGCUGCCUGAAAGGGCGGGUUUUCCGUGGAGCGAAUGUCAAGUUAGGAAACUGACGACAA
rfam:Lachnospiraceae bacterium 3_1_57FAA_CT1 genomic scaffold acsNT-supercont1.2, whole genome shotgun sequence.